UUUAUGGAGAAGACCAAAAGCUGCAAAGGCAAACACUUCCAAUAGAUUUCUCACAGAUUACUUAGUCCUUCUCCAUCAGCUCUCCACAAUAUCAGCCCGUCCAAAAGCUUCCACAUCUCUCUCUCUCGUGUGGCACAUCUGCUCUCAGUCCUUUACUGCCAACUUCCAGUCUUAGCAUGUCUACUUGUAUUAAUUUCUCCUCUACAGUCAUCACUCCCAUCUCUACUUGGCACAAACUGGAGAGAGAAUGCUGUUCUGGGCACUAUGUUUAUCUGGGUUUUACAUAUCAAUUAACAUUGGAAAAUGACUACAAAAUGUG
rnacentral:lncRNA from 1 species